CCACAACGAAAACGUUAAGUUAAUUUUAGUAAAACAAUGUACAUGGUUCGCUAAUUCAUUUUAGCAUAUGUGCUGUGAACUACAUGCCAUUUAGCUUGGUAUGUAAAUAGAAAAUCUAAUGUAAAAUAAUCAGCAAAGGUGCUGUAAAACCAUCAAAAUAUGUUUUAUUCAGUAUAUUGCAUAGUGGUUAAAUUGAUUGUGUUGUAAUGCUUUUUUGAGCAUCUUGAUGAUUCUCUUAUUGACCUUCCAAGUCUUACACUACCUAAUGUAUAUAUAAUACUAGCGUUCAAAGCAAAAAGUCUCAGAAUAGAUUAAUAAAACAGGAAAUCCCAUUCUCCAACUUCUUGGUAUCCAACCGAUGUUCUACGUUGAUGGACGCUGACCUAGUCGAAACGAAAGAAUGCAAUUAGCUGCAAUCCUAAAAUACUCUAGUCUGCUAAAUUCCGCAAUUCUACCCUAAUCAAAAGUUUGCUUUCCGACAAUUGAUAUACAAUACAACUUCAGAGACGUUCACUUAGUUGAAAGAACUAGUUCAAAUAUCUUCUACCAUGAAAGUACUGCCUCCAUCUGUUAGGAAGGCAUUUAUCAAUAACAACAGAAUACUCUUUGAAACAAAAAAACUCAAUGAAUACUAACUAAUUAAGAAUGAAAACAAUCAUUAAUAAUUUUCACCUUCUGUGAAGAUAUUAUUACUAGCACUAUUUAAGUAUUGCCAGUAUGUUUAUAAAUAUGGGGUUUAAAGAUGUCGCUAUAAUGUAUUUCGAUUUCCAUUAAUAUUCCUUAUCCGCAUUGCCGUGUCACGGUAAACAAAAAAAUUAUUGCUUUUUUCUAUUUACAUGAUAAUAAGCAACACUAAACGGAUUCAGAACCAUACCCUCGUUUGUGAGGAA